GGCGCACCAGGAGAUUCUGAUGACAGUGCUCUGAAAAAGGCCAAAGAAAAAGAACAUUUCCACUGUGGGAAAUACUCCAACUGCUGCAUAUAUUUGAUGGCGGCCAUCGGCCCUCAAAGUGAAGUCCCUGAACAGCAUCCACAUCAUCUGGGAACUUGUUAGAAAUGCCAAGCCAGAGCACUGAGUCAGAAACUCUGGGACAGGGCCCAACUGCCACUUCACAAGGGCUCCAGGUGAUUUUCACAGACCAAAGUGUCCUUGUAGAAUUCCAUAUCACUGGUUCUCAAAUGUGGCUCCAUACUGAAAUUCCCCACAGAGGUUUAAAAUCUGGGUCACAUACCCAGAGAUGCUGAUUGAGAGGAUCUGGGAUGUAGGCUCAUUAUAGUAUUUUUAAAAAGGAUUCCCAGCUACUCUAAGGUGUAGAAAAAUUUGAGAACCAUUGGCUAUAGUUCAGUUUACCAAAGUUUGGGGUCUCUGUUAUGUGAAAACUCUUGAAGGCAAGCAUUAUACCCCAGUCACUAAUAAUGAAAUGGCACUGUAUGAAGUAAAGAAUAAAUGUUAUGUAUAAACGGUAUCUAGAUGACAUGUUUAUGUUCCAUAAUCUACCUUUACAUUUUAACAUGAUCGUGGAAAAUGUAAAUAACUUUCUCCAAGCCACUGGAAAUACCAAAUGAAGUUGGAACAAGAACACACCCUCCCUACCUUCCUUCCCCUACUGGCCAGUCUCCUGGGUCAUUCAAGCUCCCACAUCAUUGGCUUCCUCAGUUCCCUCAGGUGCAUCAUCCCCUGUGUGGGCAAGCCUAGCUUUUAUUGCCAUGGAAGCAACUGGCAAGGGUGUAAGUCCCAGACAACGAGAUCU
rnacentral:lncRNA from 1 species